GAUGAACGCUGGCGGCGUGCCUAAUACAUGCAAGUCGAGCGAACAGAUGAGGAGCUUGCUCCUCUGACGUUAGCGGCGGACGGGUGAGUAACACGUGGAUAACCUACCUAUAAGACUGGGAUAACUUCGGGAAACCGGAGCUAAUACCGGAUAAUAUAUUGAACCGCAUGGUUCAAUAGUGAAAGACGGUUUUGCUGUCACUUAUAGAUGGAUCCGCGCCGCAUUAGCUAGUUGGUAAGGUAACGGCUUACCAAGGCAACGAUGCGUAGCCGACCUGAGAGGGUGGUCGGCCACACUGGAACGGAGACACGGUCCAGACGACUACGGGAGGCAGCAGUAGGGAAUCGUACGCAAUGGGCGAAAGCCUGACGGAGCAACGCCGCGUGAGUGAUGAAGGUCUUCGGAUCGUAAAACUCUGUUAUUAGGGAAGAACAAAUGUGUAAGUAACUAUGCACGUCUUGACGGUACCGAAUCAGAAAGCCACGGCUAGCUACGUG
rnacentral:rRNA from 1 species